rnacentral:rRNA from 1 species
GGAAUAUUGCACAAUGGGGGGAACCCUGAUGCAGCAACGCCGCGUGAAGGAUGAAGGUCUUCGGAUUGUAAACUUCUUUUCUGAGGGAAGAAGGGUGGGGCGACUCAUCUUGACGGUACCUUAGGAAUAAGACACGGCUAACUACGUGCCAGCAGCCGCGGUGAUACGUAGGUGUCGAGCGUUAUCCGGAAUUACUGGGCGUAAAGGGCGCGCAGGCGGCAUGACAAGUUUGACGUGAAAUCUCUCGGCUUAACUGGGAGGGGACGUUGGAGACUGUCAAGCUUGAGGUAGUGAGAGGGAGGCGGAAUUCCCGGUGUAGUGGUGGAAUGCGUAGAUAUCGGGAAGAACACCAGUGGCGAAAGCGGCCUUCUGGCACUAAUCUGACGCUGAGGUGCGAAAGCGUGGGUAGCGAAC